rnacentral:tRNA from 2 species
GGUCCUGUGGUGUAGUUGGUUAUCACGUGAGCUUCACAUUGCAAGUUUCCCCUUGCAAAGUACGCUCAAGGUCCUGAGUUCGAGCCUCGGCGGGAUCA